UACGUAGGGUCCGAGCGUUGUCCGGAGUUACUGGGCGUAAAGCGCGCGCAGGCGGCGGUGCUGGCCCGGCGUGAAAGCCCCCGGCUCAACCGGGGAGGGUCGUCGGGGACCGCACCGCUUGAGGGCGGUAGGGGCUGGUGGAAUGCCUGGUGUAGUGGUGAAAUGCGUAGAGAUCAGGCGGAACACCCGUGGCGAAGGCGGCCAGCUGGGCCGUCCCUGACGCUGAGGCGCGAAGGCUAGGGGAGCAAACGGGG
rnacentral:rRNA from 1 species